rnacentral:rRNA from 1 species
AUUGAACGCUGGCGGCAGGCCUAACACAUGCAAGUCGAGCGAGCGGCGGACGGGUGAGUACUGUCUGGGAAACUGCAUGAUGGCGGGGGAUAACUACUGGAAACGGUAGCUAAUACCGCAUACCAUCAGAUGUGCCCAGAUGGGAUUAGCUAGUAGGUGGGGUAACGGCUCACCUAGGCUACGAUCCCUAGCUGGUCUGAGAGGAUGACCAGCCAACCUGGAACUGAGGCACGGUCCAGACUCCUACGGGAGGCAGCAGUGGGGAAUAUUGCACAAUGGGCGCAAGCCUGAUGCAGCCAUGCCGCGGGUGUGAAGAAGGCCUUCGGGUUGUAAAGCACUUUCAGCGGGGAGGCGUUAUCCGCAGAAGAAGCACCGGCUAACUCCGUGCCAGCGGCGGCGGUAAUUC